AGCUUGCUAUGAGCCCCCGGCCAGGUCAGUGCAUCUCUCUGGCCCUGUUUUCUUAUCCCGACUUUCCCCGCUGAGAAAAUAACGUGGCCGGCCAGAGGCUGGGGGCGCCGCGUGACCAGGGCUCACCUGUGUCCAUCCUCCAGCUGCUGGCACAGCGUGGGCUCCAGCUCCAGCAGGCAGAAGUCGCCGGCUGCAGCGCCGCUGGCCCCAGGGCCGAAGCCCAGGCAGUGCACCGCCGGCAGCAGCUCGGCCGCAUUCAGCUUGGCGAUCUGCAGCGUCGCAUCCACCUCGUCGCGGGUCCUCUUCAUCGCAGCGCCGGGUCUAGGAGUCCCGCCGCGCCCGGGUGGCUGCGGGCUUGGCGGGCAAGAAAGAAGUUCCCAAGCAGCCGGAAGGUAGGAAACCUGAGCGUUUGAAAGCGCGCCAAGGCGGCCAUGGGCGUGUUUCCGGGGCGGAGCGCGCUGCGGGCCCGCCCGCGGGAAGGCCUGCCGGCUUCUGGGAGCGCGAGCCCCUCCGUGCCCCACGCCGGACCGCGACUGCAGGAAGGAAACGCGGCUUCCCGGGGGGCGGUCUCGGCGGAAGCUCGCAGGGGCAGAGCUGCGACUCGGCGGGUUGGGACACGGAUCCCUCGCCCACCCUUUCCGCUGUCCCCUUGCCCGCCCCCCAUCCCCGAUCUCCGUCCCUGGUUUCCAGCCGAUGCUCCCAUUUCCUCGCCGUCCACAUUGUCUCACCUUCCGCCAGUGGCGGGCCCUGUGAUAACCACUUGGCAUGUAUAAUUCCAUGAGCCCGUUGCCACAACCCUGUAAGGUGGUGCCUUGGUCAUUCCCUUUUGCCAAUGAGGAAGCAGGCUCCUUGCUCGUGAUGGCAGAGUCAGGAGGUAACAGAGUCUGACUCCAGCCUAGCCGACUGUGGCUCUAAAAGCUUCCUGCGGGGUUUUGUGCAAAUAACCCAUGCUCGGGAGCGAGGCCCUGGGAAGGAGUAUCUCGCUUCUUUGGGUCAGGGCACCAUCAUAUCUGGAGACAACGGCGGGACUAGUCUAUUCGUUGAAUACCUAGUGUUAACCGAAAAGUGACUGAUGCAGGUCUCGUUCAAUAGAGGUUUAUUUAAGCAAGGUUGAGGACGCACCCGAAGGGAAAAACAAGUCACAGGAGCAUCUGUGACUUGUACAUUUUCCAAAGGUUUGGGGAACUUCAGUAUUAAGAGUUUUAAGAGAAAAGGUUUUCACUAUGCACACAUACAUGAAUUGCUUGUAACAGCGUAAUGUGUAAACUUUCCCAGAGAUGCUUAGGGAAUCGUUGAGGGCCCUGGCUGUCCCUGAGAGCUAAAAUAGUCUGGGAGGAAUCACUUAAGAGAUGGUGACCUCCUACUAGUUAGUGCAAAUCAGACCUUGCUUGAAGUGAAAGAAAGUGGUGGGUAAGGUGUUGAAUUCAAAGGAUCUGAGCAGACAUUUUUUUCAAUUCUUGGGUAAAAUGAUACGAAAAUACCAGAGUAGGGCAUCCCAGGAGUCUGGGCAGUGCUUUCGUUGGUGGUGGAAAGAUUGGUUCAUGUGACCUACUUCUUCACUAGCCUCUUUUACAUUUGAAUGCAUAGGAAUUCGGUGGAAUGAAAUCCUGAAUGUGACAGUGGUUGCCUGAUAAGAAGUUAUUAUUGAAGGGAAUCAACCAUUGUAGUUGCUCUAUUAAAUGGGAAACAUUCCCUACAACUAGAAGCAGUGUCAACUAGAACCCUGACAUUUACAUCAGACAGGCAUGGCUGCGAAUCCCAACUCUCUUCAGAACUUUGUGACCUAAGGCAAUUUACCUAAUUUCUCUGAGUACAACUUCCUUAUCGAUAAAAAAGCACAUAAGACCUACAUUCUUAAGAUGUACAUUCUAAAAUGCAUGGCUGCUU
rnacentral:lncRNA from 10 species